rfam:Nematostella vectensis strain CH2 x CH6 NEMVEscaffold_3_Cont554, whole genome shotgun sequence.
GCUAGAGGCUAGAAAAGUUGAAUGGCUUGAGGUGUGGAUUCCUGAUGGCGGUCGUGCUAGGUCGAUCGGGUGUCCGCGCUAAGUCAGGCGUCAAUAUGGCGCCAUAAGAGGAGUCUCGAGUCAUCAGGUUAGUUAAAGGAGCGGACCGGUCCAGGGUGGAAACACAGCAGGCAAAACAUCCCGCGCUCGGCAGUAGUGGGAUAGCAUCUUUGAAUAGGCGGCCGUCAACAGCCAUACCGAAAAUAAUAUUUUCUUU